rnacentral:rRNA from 1 species
CAGUCGCCGCGGGAACACGGAGGGGGCUAGCGUUGUUCGGAAUUACUGGGCGUAAAGCGCACGUAGGCGGCUUGGUAAGUUAGAGGUGAAAGCCUGGAGCUCAACUCCAGAAUUGCCUUUAAGACUGCCGAGCUAGCAGGUGAGAGAGGUAAGUGGAAUUCCGAGUGUAGAGGUGAAAUUCGUAGAUAUUCGGAAGAACACCAGUGGCGAAGGCGGCUUACUGGCUCAUACUGGACGCUGAGGUGCGAAAGCGUGGGGAGCAAACAGGAUUAGAUACCCCUGUAGUCCCUGUCUCUUAUAA